GGCCUCCCAAAGUACUGGGAUUACAGGCGUGAGCCACCGCGCCUGGCGAGAAGGUGAAUUUGAGCUGGGUCUUGGAGAAUGGGGGCUGGAGGCUCCACUUCCCUGGAGGGCCAGAUCCCAGGAGGAACUGUGGGGUGGAAAAAACGGAGGGGGGGGAACAGCCCCAGAUCCACCUGCCCCCCAGGUCUCCAGCCACCGGCACCAGGUGCACCAGGUGCUACAGACUGGCCCCAGCCUCUCCCAGGCCCCUUGCCUGCCACCCCCAGCCAUGCGGCUUCUCCUGUGGCCUGCUCUGGCUGGAAUCCACUCUGCUCGCCACCCCCCGUUCCCUGGGUAGGGAUCCCUCACCCGUGC